rnacentral:tRNA from 1 species
AGGGUUAUGGCUCAGUGGUGUAGCAUCUGCUUUGUAUGCAGAAGACCUCAGGUUCAAUAUCUGGUAUCUCUA